GCAACGCUCGAUAAAUAUCUGUUUCGAGCUUCACAAGCAGUAAGGCUGUGUUUGGUUACAGGAUAUAAUAGGAAUAACACAUUUUAUUCCUGUAAUUCUGCCAAACAUAAGUAAAAUUGGAAGGAAUAUUUAAUUCCGGUCAAAGCGGGUUAUUCUUGACAAUUCUAGAAUAACCCGUUAACAACUAUUCCUCUCCAACAGUGGAAUAGUUGUGUCCUUCAAUUUAUACCCAAGGCAGUAAAUGAAAACGUUGCCUCGUUGGUUGAGCCCACCUACCCUACUCUAUACUCCUUUGCCAAAUGUCUCUUUAGUUAAAACUUUUUACAAUAUUUUAUAUUAUUGUGUAUACUAUUUUUGAUUAAUUAUAUCUAAGGUAAAAAUAUUUUAUAAUUAAUUAUUAAAUAUUUUAUAAAUAAUAUGAAUAUUAAAAUAUUAAAUAUAAUUUUCUUUCACUAAAAUAUUUUAUUGCAUAUAUUAUAUUUUACAUGAAAUGUUGUUCAUUUUAUUAAAUAUUAUAUAUAAAAGAGGCACACACAAGGGCAAUAUUGGUAUUUUAGAAAAAUUUAAUCUACUUUUACUACUAUUCUCUAUUAUUCCUAAGCAAUUUUCCAAACAUAAAUUUUCGUAUUCUUCUGAAAAAGAGAAUUUCAUACCAAACAUAAAAUUCAUUUUAUUCUCCUAUAUCCUAGAAUACACCCUAAAUCCAAGAAUAAAAAUAUUUAUACUUCUAAACAUUAUUCCAUUACCAAACACAGCCUAAGAGAAUUAUUCUAUUUUAUUUUAAUAUUUUGGAAAGCUAGAUAGAUGAGAACUAAUAUAAAAUCUAAAUAUUUUGCUCAGAUGAUUAAUUAAAAUAAUCUACAAGAUUAUGAAUAGAACAGCAGUCACAAUUAAGCUAAAAAGAAUAAUAAAAGGAAGUUUUUUUUUCCUUUUGGCUAAUUUAUACUUUUGGUUCUGAAGUUAUGAGGUGCGUGAUACUUUGGUCUUCAAAUUUUAACGUAUUAUAAUGUUUAGUUAAAACAAUCAUAAUUAAGUGUUACUGUAUGUAUAAUUUAAUUGACUGAGUGGUAAUGUGUUGUUAAUAUGAAUGAUUAUAUGAUAAUGAUUAAGAUGUCACAUUAACUAUCAUGUCGAUAAACUAUUAGCAUCUGAUUAAUUAAAUUAAAUUGUAAAACUUAAUUGCAACAAUCUACAUAAUUUUAGUAAAAAAUUACGAUAGAUAAAAAUUUGUAGACAAAAAUGUCGUCUGUUUCAUAGUUUAAAGACCAAAAGUAUAAUUUAAUUACUGACAUUU
rnacentral:lncRNA from 1 species